rnacentral:rRNA from 1 species
UACGGAGGAUGCAAGCGUUAUCCGGAUUCAUUGGGUUUAAAGGGUGCGCAGGCGGACUGAUAAGUCAGUGGUGAAAUUCUACGGCUCAACUGUAGAACUGCCAUUGAUACUGUCAGACUAGAGUAUAUUUGGAGUGGGCGGAAUGUGUCAUGUAGCGGUGAAAUGCAUAGAUAUGACACAGAACACCGAUCGCGAAGGCAGCUCACUAAGAUACAACUGACGCUCAUGCACGAAAGCGUGGGGAUCAAACAGG